rnacentral:tRNA from 3 species
GUCGGAGUGGCGGAAUUUGGUAGACGCGCUAGGUUGAGGGCCUAGUGAGCCAAUGGCUCAUGGGGGUUCAAGUCCCCCCUCCGACACCA